rnacentral:rRNA from 1 species
CGGAGCAACGCCGCGUGAGUGAUGAAGGUUUUCGGAUCGUAAAGCUCUGUUGUUAGGGAAGAACAAGUGCGAGAGUAACUGCUCGCACUUGACGGUACCUAACCAGAAAGCCACGGCUAACUACGUGCCAGCAGCCGCGGUAAUACGUAGGUGGCAAGCGUUGUCCGGAAUUAUUGGGCGUAAAGGGCUCGCAGGCGGUUUCUUAAGUCUGAUGUGAAAGCCCCCGGCUCAACCGGGGAGGGUCAUUGGAAACUGGGAAACUUGAGUGCAGAAGAGGAGAGUGGAAUUCCACGUGUAGCGGUGAAAUGCGUAGAGAUGUGGAGGAACACCAGUGGCGAAGGCGACUCUCUGGUCUGUAACUGACGCUGAGGAGCGAAAGCGUGGGGAGCGAACAGGAUUAGAUACCCUGGUAGUCCACGCCGUAAACGAUGAGUGCUAAGUGUUAGGGGGUUUCCGCCCCUUAGUGCUGCAGCUAACGCAUUAAGCACUCCGCCUGGGGAGUACGGUCGCAAGACUGAAACUCAAAGGAAUUGACGGGGGCCCGCACAAGCGGUGGAGCAUGUGGUUUAAUUCGAAGCAACGCGAAGAACCUUACCAGGUCUUGACAUCCUCUGACAACCCUAGAGAUAGGGCUUUCCCUUCGGGGACAGAGUGACAGGUGGUGCAUGGUUGUCGUCAGCUCGUGUCGUGAGAUGUUGGGUUAAGUCCCGCAACGAGCGCAACCCUUGAUCUUAGUUGCCAGCAUUCAGUUGGGCACUCUAAGGUGACUGCCGGUGACAAACCGGAGGAAGGUGGGGAUGACGUCAAAUCAUCAUGCCCCUUAUGACCUGGGCUACACACGUGCUACAAUGGACAGAACAAAGGGCUGCAAGACCGCAAGGUUUAGCCAAUCCCAUAAAUCUGUUCUCAGUUCGGAUCGCAGUCUGCAACUCGACUGCGUGAAGCUGGAAUCGCUAGUAAUCGCGGAUCAGCAUGCCGCGGUGAAUACGUUCCCGGGCCUUGUACACACCGCCCGUCACACCACGAGAGUUUGCAACACCCGAAGUCGGUGAGGUAACCUUUAUGGAGCCAGCCGCCGAAGUUGUCAAGAAUUU